rnacentral:lncRNA from 13 species
AGGCUAUUAGAUGCGGCAGUAUCAAAGGCAUGAAAAAUGGAAAAAAGAAAAGUUAAAUGGUUCUCACACUUUUUAGUGUCAGUUGUAUUACUUCAGUGUUCACUUUCUGCUGCUAAUUGUUUGUGAAGAUGAAGCUCUAGUGGGCUGUCAGAGAUGGAGGACCGUUCCUUUGUCCCACUGCUGACAGUAGAGGGUGAUGAUGCUGCUGAGGUACUUGACUGCUCUUAUUAGGGUGAAAUUUAGAAUUAUGAUCACUUGAACAUGUACCUCUUUUUAGAUUUUUAAAUGAAGAGAGCACUUUUGUCAUGUGUGGGUGUGAGAUCUAAGGUGAAGUUAUUUACCAAAAACACUGUCCCAGGAACGUCUUUGAUAAAGUAAAACCUAUGUGUUUUUCCACUUUCAGGUCUUUCAUUCAAUGCAGACUGUUUCCUAAGUUUUUACAUCAAAAUCUGGAAGAGUCAGCUGCUGAUCCUCUCCCCAAGAAGAUGAAAGAUUCAGUGGCUGGAGUGCACUGGCCCAAUCUUCGUUCACUGCAACCUCGGCCUCCUAAGUUCAAGUGAUUCUUCCUCCUCAGCCUCUGGAAUAUCUGGGACCACAGGUGAGUGCCACCACGUCUGGGUAAUAUUUUUGUAUUUUUAGUAGAGAUGGGAUUUCACCAUGUUGGCCAGGAUGGUCUCGAUCUCUUGACCUCAUGAUCCACUGGUCUUAGCCUUCCAAAGUGCUGGGAUUCUAGGAAUGAGCCAUCUCGCCUGGCUUUUGUUUAUUUAUUUACAUAAUUACUGAUUUAUUUACUUAGAGGCAGGAAGGCCUGCUUGCAUUUAUUUAUUUAUGUUUUUAUUUAGUAAGUUAAUUAUUUUCAUUUUAUUAUUUUUAUAAAUAGAGAUAGGGACUUUUUCACCAUCUUGGCCAGGCUGGUCUUGAUGUCCUGACCUCAGGUGGUAUUGCUGGCUGAAGCUCCCAAUGGGCGGGGUAUUAAAAACAUGAACCACCAAGUGGGGCUGCUUAUUUAUUGAUUUAAUUUAUCUAUUUAUCUAUGAUUUAUUUGGAGGCAGAGUUGCAUUUAUUUAUUGAAUUAUUUGCUGGCAUACUAAUGGAGAAGCAGGUCGAAUUUAUUUAUUUAUUUAAAUAUUUGGAGACAGGCUUGGAUUUAUGUAUUUAUCUAUCUAGCUAGCUGAUUAUUUAGAGGCAGGCUCACAUUUACUCAAUUAUUUUAUUUAGACCCAGGCUCACAACAUUAUUUUUAUACUUCUAUAUUUGUGUUCAGGCUUGCAUUUAUUCAUUUUCUUAACUAUCUGUAUAA